GGGGAACCUGAUCCUGCCAUGCCGCGUGAGUGAAGAAGGCCUUCGGGUUGUAAAGCUCUUUCGGCUGGGAAGAAAUCGCACAGGCUAAUACUCUGUGUGGAUGACGGUACCAGCAUAAGAAGCACCGGCUAACUACGUGCCAGCAGCCGCGGUAAUACGUAGGGUGCGAGCGUUAAUCGGAAUUACUGGGCGUAAAGCGUGCGCAGGCGGUUGUGCAAGACAGAUGUGAAAUCCCCGGGCUCAACCUGGGAACUGCAUUUGUGACUGCACGACUAGAGUACGGCAGAGGGGGGUAGAAUUCCACGUGUAGCAGUGAAAUGCGUAGAGAUGUGGAGGAAUACCGAUGGCGAAGGCAGCCCCCUGGGCCGAUACUGACGCUCAUGCACGAAAGCGUGGGGAGCAAACAGGAUUAGAUACCCUGGUAGUCCACGCCCUAAACGAUGUCAACUAGUUGUUGGUAGGGUUAAACCUAUUAGUAACGUAGCUAACGCGUGAAGUUGACCGCCUGGGGAGUACGGUCGCAAGGUUAAAACUCAAAGGAAUUGACGGGGACCCGCACAAGCGGUGGAUGAUGUGGAUUAAUUCGAUGCAACGCGAAAAACCUUACCUACCCUUGACAUGUCAGGAAUCCCGAAGAGAUUUG
rnacentral:rRNA from 1 species